CGCCAUUUAGAUGUCUUUAAAAUUUUUAAUAAAAUUUACGACGUCUUAGAAAGACGUCUUUAAGACGUCGAAUGACGCGCAUAACCAAAUCUGCCGUGUGAUACGAUCAAGUCGAUCGACGUGCUUAUCCCAUUCCCGUAUCAAUUUUUUGAACUCUCGCACGUACAUGUGUUGAGACGUUUUGUCCCGGUUUUCUGUGUAACGCAGUCGAGUGUGGAUGCAUUAAUCUAACACAAUUUUUUAACUCUCGCACGUGUAUCACGUGUGUGGACGGGCUGUACUGGAAAUAAAAUCUCCCAGCUAACCUUAGAUAUUCCUAAAAUAUUCGUGGAAAAAUACACGUGGGAUACUGUUUAUUAAGUUUGCAGCAAGAUUCGACCUCUUUCCGUGCUGGGUGCCAGUUGCCUGCUCGAUGACAUUGUGUGGUCAAUGCCGACUCGCGCCUUUGUUUCCAAUCCAGGACGCUUCGCACCUGUAUGAUUGUGACGUGAAAAUCCUGUUUAAGCUCCAUGGUGUGCUCCCGGAUACAUUGACCGGACACCGCAAUAGAUUCUCAAAGCAAUUCCACGAAUCAAAGAGUUUUUACAAUACAGUUAAACAUAUGCGGUAUUCUAAACAUUUGAUAACAAUUCCGUCAUUACCCGAGAAGCCACCUAACUUUUUAAUAUAAACUGAGUUAAUGUUACACCGAUAGUGGUACUUCCGCCGAAGGCAUCUAUUGAUUCGAUAGUGGUACUUCCGCCGAAGGCAUCUAUUGAUUCCGAGACUGCCAUAGAUAAUCUUAUCGAUACAUCUGAUACAGAAUCAUUAACAGGCGAUCAGUUGGAUUCUGUAAAUACACGAAAUGACUAUAUCACCUGAUGCUCUUACACAAAGAGACAGCUUUAUUGAUCGCUCAAUUGUAUCAAGAAAAUGUUCUUCAAAGACGUAAAUAAUUUGUUAAUGGAUCAUCAACAAAUCAUCAACAAAUAGUUGCAGAUAAUGCAAUAUGAAACGCAACAGAUGAUCAAAUCUCAGCCCCGAUAAAGAUAUGGUUGGUCCAUGCAAAAGAACGCGCCGGAAAAGAAAAAA
rnacentral:lncRNA from 1 species